GUUUAUUGCCCUCAUCAAAUUUAAUUAGAGUAAAGAAUGUCAGAUCAAGAACGAAGAGGAAGUCGGAGACCAUUUUCAGAAUGGAACUCUUGUGCCAUAUCGGUUUGAGCCGUAUCAUACUGAGGCUGAGUUGUUCCAUUUUCGGAUGAGAGAAAUAAUCACGGUGACUGGUGGUGUCGAGAAUGGGACCAGUUUAUUCCGAUAAUGAAGGAGGUAGAACAUCAGACUGACAAUGCAGCAGAAGAUGGCGUGUGUAACUAAACACUCAUCAAUCCUGGUGUGUUGGAGACUUUCUUCAGAAUGCCCAGGAUCAACUGGACACGACGUGACACACCUGAAGGUCCAAAUGGCAAAAGCACAGUACAGACUGGCCUCUUAUUGGAUCCCCCUGGAGUGGAUGCUGAGGGGAGAACAUCUAGGUCGAGACCAACAACGUUUACUCCCAGCCUCUGUGGUUGCUGCAAUUACAGUACAUCCGACUACCCUGACCCCAACAGCAGCUACAUUGGAGUCCAGGAAGUUGAAUAACAUUUUCAAUAAAUAAAAUUGUAGUGUAUUUUUUUGUUGUAAACUAUUUCAUGUUAUUUUAUAACAACAAUUACACAGUUAGCAUGCCAUUCACACUGUCACUCAGCAUUGGUUAGAGCAGGGAUUUACAAACAUGUUCCUGGCGAUCAACCGUUUUGUCGAUUUUCACCCCGACAGGUAAGCUUGAUUAGGGUUGGAGGAUGGAAACCUAUAAGACGGUAACUCUCUAGUCUGUUUCCUGAGGUUCCUGAACGCACCCUGUCUGGUUGCCGGGCGACGAAGCUAGGCGGGAGAUCUCUUGAUUACCCGCACCUGCAUCUCAUCAGCUAUCUGUACACCUGGUCCUGAUCAUCACCUCUCCACUUCAUAAGCUCUGACCUGACAUCCAUUCCCUGCCAGGUCUUUAGCAAUGAACAUCAUUCACCCCACCCCUGCCUGAUUGUCGGGGGCUUCUGUGACAUUGGAUCUGCCUAUUCACUCUCACCAACUCACCUCUGCUGCCCGCUCCGUCUCCUGGAUUAUUCUGCUUUCACAUUUGAGUCUGUAAAUAAAUAUUCACCUUGUCCUGGUCUGCUUCUGGGUUCUGCUUUAGAGAAUCGUGACAUGUUGUUUAUGAAGCGUGUGGUAGCAGUGGUGUAAAGUACUUAAGUAAAAAUACUUUCAAGUACUACUUAAGUAGUUUUUUUGGUGUAUCUGUUCUUUACUUUGCUAUUUCUAUUUUUGACAACUUUUACUCCACUACAUUCCUAAAGAAAAUAAUGUACUUUUUACUCCAUACAUUUUCCCUGACACCCAAAAGUACAAUCAUUGUUACAUUUUGAAUGCUUAACAGGACAGGCAAAUGGUCCAAUUCACACACAUAUCAAGAGAUUAUGUCUGAGUGUUGGAGUGUGCCCCUGGCUAUCCG
rnacentral:lncRNA from 1 species